rnacentral:rRNA from 1 species
AGUGAACGCUGGCGGUAGGCCUAACACAUGCAAGUCGAACGGCAGCACAGUAAGAGCUUGCUCUUACGGGUGGCGAGUGGCGGACGGGUGAGGAAUACUUCGGAAUCUACUUUUUCGUGGGGGAUAACGUAGGGAAACUUACGCUAAUACCGCAUACGACCUACGAGUGAAAGCAGGGGAUCUUCGGACCUUGCGCGAUUGAAUGAGCCGAUGUCGGAUUAGCUAGUUGGCGGGGUAAAGGCCCACCAAGGCGACGAUCCGUAGCUGGUCUGAGAGGAUGAUCAGCCACACUGGAACUGAGACACGGUCCAGACUCCUACGGGAGGCAGCAGUGGGGAAUAUUGGACAAUGGGCGCAAGCCUGAUCCAGCCAUACCGCGUGGGUGAAGAAGGCCUUCGGGUUGUAAAGCCCUUUUGUUGGGAAAGAAAAGCAGCAGGUUAAUACCCCGCUGUUCUGACGGUACCCAAAGAAUAAGCACCGGCUAACUUCGUG